rnacentral:rRNA from 1 species
GACGAACGCUGGCGGCGUGCUUAACACAUGCAAGUCGAACGGAAAGGCCCUGCUUUUGUGGGGUGCUCGAGUGGCGAACGGGUGAGUAACACGUGAGUAACCUGCCCUUGACUUUGGGAUAACUUCAGGAAACUGGGGCUAAUACCGGAUAGGAGCUCCUGCUGCAUGGUGGGGGUUGGAAAGUUUCGGCGGUUGGGGAUGGACUCGCGGCUUAUCAGCUUGUUGGUGGGGUAGUGGCUUACCAAGGCUUUGACGGGUAGCCGGCCUGAGAGGGUGACCGGCCACAUUGGGACUGAGAUACGGCCCAGACUCCUACGGGAGGCAGCAGUGGGAAUAUUGCACAAUGGGCGGAAGCCUGAUGCAGCAACGCCGCGUGCGGGAUGACGGCCUUCGGGUUGUAAACCGCUUUCGCCUGUGACGAAGCGUGAGUGACGGUAAUGGGUAAAGAAGCACCGGCUAACUACGUGCCAGCAGCCGCGGUGAUACGUAGGGUGCGAGCGUUGUCCGGAUUUAUUGGGCGUAAAGGGCUCGUAGGUGGUUGAUCGCGUCGGAAGUGUAAUCUUGGGGCUUAACCCUGAGCGUGCUUUCGAUACGGGUUGACUUGAGGAAGGUAGGGGAGAAUGGAAUUCCUGGUGGAGCGGUGGAAUGCGCAGAUAUCAGGAGGAACACCAGUGGCGAAGGCGGUUCUCUGGGCCUUUCCUGACGCUGAGGAGCGAAAGCGUGGGGAGCGAACAGGCUUAGAUACCCUGGUAGUCCACGCUGUAAACGGUGGGUACUAGGUGUGGGGUCCAUUCCACGGGUUCCGUGCCGUAGCUAACGCUUUAAGUACCCCGCCUGGGGAGUACGGCCGCAAGGCUAAAACUCAAAGGAAUUGACGGGGCCCCGCACAAGCGGCGGAGCAUGCGGAUUAAUUCGAUGCAACGCGUAGAACCUUACCUGGGUUUGACAUGGAUCGGGAGUGCUCAGAGAUGGGUGUGCCUCUUUUGGGGUCGGUUCACAGGUGGUGCAUGGCUGUCGUCAGCUCGUGUCGUGAGAUGUUGGGUUAAGUCCCGCAACGAGCGCAACCCUUGUUCACUGUUGCCAGCACGUUAUGGUGGGGACUCAGUGGAGACCGCCGGGGUCAACUCGGAGGAAGGUGGGGAUGACGUCAAGUCAUCAUGCCCCUUAUGUCCAGGGCCUCACGCAUGCUACAAUGGCUGGUACAGAGAGUGGCGAGCCUGUGAGGGUGAGCGAAUCUCGGAAAGCCGGUCUCAGUUCGGAUUGGGGUCUGCAACUCGACCUCAUGAAGUCGGAGUCGCUAGUAAUCGCAGAUCAGCAACGCUGCGGUGAAUACGUUCCCGGG